UGCAAUUUAGUUUAGUUUUUCUUUGGAUUUCGGCGUUAAUGUUUGUAUAACGGUGCUGAAUAUUUUACCGAUAGCGCGCACAACUUUGCGUUAGUUUACUAUAUGUACAUAUAAUAUAUAAGUCUGUUACUUAUAAUACAUAUGUAUAUGAAAGCAUAAAGCCAGCGGAAUUGCCGCAGUUCAAAGUUGAAGGUGGAAAUAACUUUGCGGUGGAGUUUAAAGCUGAAUUCGAUAUUACUGCACGAAUACGCUUGAGCAGCUGUACCGCAAUCGUGUUCGUUUGUUAUUGUUAAGUUGUGUGAAGAAAGAAGAAUUAAAAUUUAAAUAAUUGUGAUGUUAUUUUUGCACAAAAUGUGAAGUAUUACAAAAUAAAAUUUUAAUCUGCCAAGGAAUCGAAAAAUUUUGAAUGAUUUCGAGAGAUAUCAUCAAAAAGUGGUAAAAGUUAUAGAGAAUUUGUGAGCAAAUAUGUAGCCUGAAAAUUUGAAAAUGAAAUAACAAAAGCUACUCACAGCAAGAUGUGGUACUAAUUGUCAUAAUCUAUUCGUCUAUUAAUUUCUGAUGAUUCCAAAAAGAAAAACUAAAAUAUACAAGCCAAGCGAACGUCACAGCUGUUUUAGCAUACAUUACUCUCAGUGGAUGUAAAUAAAUGUACAUAAAUGUUAUAAUUGCCGCAAUAAUAAAAUUAAGGCGCCAAAUAUCGUGAAAACAUUGUGACAUCGGCAAACGCGUAACGUGACAAACUCUGAAACGGUCCAAGUAAAACUGCCUGCGACGCGAACAACAAAACCGGCGAACAUGAUUGCCUUUGCACAGCAUAGAAUGCGAACGAUGCAUGCUAAAGCGGCAAGAACGAUUCAACAAAUAUAGUACCGCAGCCAACGUGUUUAAUGAAAAUGAAACGGGAAAGUAAAAUAAAAAAAUUUUUGUUGUUGAUUACCGCAAUUUGUAUUAACAGCUUCUGGUAGUGCCGUGGCGAUGGCGGAGAUGCUAGUGGUAGUUUUCUGCCGCUUGCUUAUGGCACGCAUAAGACCGUCACUGCUGAUGAUGCCAUCGCACACACGUUCACCAUCGAAAUGCGUGGCCAAAACCACUAUCACGAUGGUGGUGAAGGGGGUGGGGGAGACAGUAGUGGCAGUUUGGAAAAUAUGGAUUUGAAGAAUAUGGAUAUGCAUGCCUUUGAUCAUGAUGCUGGCAUUAGUGGUGUACCAGUGUACCAGAGGAGUCGGAGGAGCGCGAUCAUAUAGCGCAUCAUUUUGAUCACGCGUGACUCGUGUCAAGUUGUCAAGCUAAUUUUGUUUAGUAUAUUUGGCAUUUGGAAAGACCUACGAACAAUGUUUACGUUCGUUCAACUUUAUUAUAAAAAUUCAUGUUCUGCAAGGAACUUUUUCGGCGAACCUCGAUCAACGUAUGGUCAAUGUAAUCGGCCUUCUGAUCGUACUAUUCGCAACAUCAUCACCUAUCUUGAGACCCACCACAUAUUAUUGGAUAACAUUUGACCGAAUAGACAAAGUCCAGCACGCAGUGAAGAAAACAGAGCAGAUGUAGCUGAGAAUGUACAUGAAGAUCAUGGAGAGUCGAUCCGACACCGUUCGCAGCAACUCGGACUGACAUAUGGAACGACUUGGCGCAUUUUACGUCGAGAACUUAAAUUAAAAUUAUACAAAACACAGCUUCUGCAAGAACUGAAGCCGCUGGACCAUCCUAAACGACAUCGUUUCGCUCUUGAAAAGUUCUAAGAAGAUCCGACAAUUUCAAAACAAAUUUUCUUUGGCGCUAAGGCCCAUUUCUGGCUCAAUGGGUACGUAAACAAGCAAACUUGUCGCAUUUGGGACAAAGAGCAACUUGAAGAGAUUCCAUUCAUCCAAAAAAAAAAAACGGUUUGGUGUGGUUUGUAGGCCGCUGGAAUCAUCGAUUCAUAUUUCUUCAAACAUGAUGCCGUUAAGAUAGUAACCGUAAAUGGCGACCGUUGUCACGCCAAUAUAAUCGACUAUUUGAUAACUGAUAUUGAAGCUCCUGAUCUCGGCGAGAUUUGUUUCAACAAGGCGGCGCCACUUCCCACACAUCGCAUAUUGAGAGAAUAAUUCGAUGAGCAGAUAAUUUAACGUUUUGGGCUAUUCGAUUGGCCAACAAGAUCGGGUGAUAUUACACCAUUGGGUUUUUUUCUGUGGAGAUGUGUAAAGUCCAAAGUCUAUGAGGACAAUGCCGCUUCAUUUCAAGCUUUGGAGGAAAACAUCACGCAUGUAAUUUGCCAGUUACCAGUCAAGAUGCUCGAAUGGGAAAUCAAAAAAUUAAUUCAACCGAUGGACCAGUAGCAACAGCCAACUUUUAAAAGAGAGUAUCUUCAAAAACUAAAUGUCCCUUGGAUGGUAACAAACAUUCUUAAUUAAAUUUGUAGUUUCUGUAUUUUUUUUUUAAGUAGGAAACCUCAAAAUGGAUGACCCUUUAUAGCCCAUAAGUAAAAUUACAAAAUAUUUAAGUAUUAAAAACAAGUCUGAUUUUUACGCUGUUUGAAUUUAUACCCUAAUUAGUAUUUAGAAAUCAUCAUUAAUUUUGUAUGAUUAUAUUCGCAGUUUAAAAUUAACAAGUUAAGCCACUUAAAUGAGUUAAUGUAUUUACCUAAAAUAUAAGUUUAACAUUUUAUCUAUGUAUGUACUUAACGCAGUCGCACACCGGCAGAGUAGAUAUUUAUUAUUCAUGCCUGAAUUGCUUCUAAACGAUUAUAAUCUAAUAUGAGUACACAAAUGAAUACAUUUAUCGUGUAAAUAAACAUAUUAUUGUGUUCGUAAUUUCCCAAGUUUAAAUUAUUUUUGCGAAUGUUUCUGUUUUUGCACUAAAAACAAGCUUCCAAUGUUAAAAACUCUUAACUUUCAAUUUAAACAAGUGAAACAAGUAUUUCGAAAGAUACUCCACCUUUCA